CUGGCAUUUAAAAAAAAAAAUCACAUCUUUCUUUCGUAUAAAAAAGAUUAUGCGCUGCUACAUACCCUUUGCUCUUCACAUGUAAAAAAUAACUUGAACAAGCUCAGGCGAAAUCAUUUUCUGAAUGUGUAGAAUGCAGAACCCUAAACACAAAUAACAGCUUUAACUUGGCUUCUGCUUUUAAGCAAAGGUGUUCCUGCCUUGUUUUUCAGAAUUAGAGCCACCUGCUGUAAUGUAGAGGGAGCUACUGAGCAACAGCUGCUGGUAAAAAGGAGUAGAAAGAAGGUUAAAGUAAGCAUAGUUUUAAUUUCUUCUGUCUUGCAGUUGUUUGAUGCACUGCAGUCUUGGAGUUCACAGCCUCUGCGUAUUUGUCUUAAGUUUUCGUUUGUGUAUUUGUUUUUUGUUAUUUUUUUGUUUUGGUUUUAGCUAGUGAGAACUGUAGAAGUCUCAGUUAUAAGCUCCAAAACAGCAGUAUGGAUCAUGCAGGUCGGUGGUCUGUGCUCCAGCUGGUGAGUUUUUACUUCGUCCUUCACAAUGCUGUUAUUUUGUGCCUCCUUCUCUUCCUCUAACAUGAUAAGAGCCAUAUGGGAAGGAGAUUGUAUCUUGAUGAUCGGACCAAGUCUUUCAUCAUUCUCUAGCAUGCUUCCCUUACAACCAAGAUCCAGUGGUGCAUGGCCGGACCUUGACUGAGCACAAUAAUUAUGAAGAGUUAGCCUGGUGUGAGUUGAAGGUCAUGAAUAUUGCAUGCGGUGAUGAUAGCUUGUGCUUUAAUUUGGAAGUUACUGUUUGUCUUGUUGAUUGGUAAGAAUCAAAAUCUCACAAAUUGCAUAGAUCUUAGAAAAAGUGAAAAGUAUAACUUCAAAAAAAAAAAUCACUCCUUAUUUCUGAAGUGAUUCUUCUCUGAAUAAGUUAAACCCUGCUUGCUAUGAAAAAAAAAAUACACUUUAAACUGAGGAUGGUUAAGGAAUUUGAAUCUGCAGUUUCUAAAGAAGUUGGCUGAAGGAGGCCUCUGGCCUUGUAUGUUCAUUUUGAAUAAAUCUUGGAAAAUUAUUAUACCA
rnacentral:lncRNA from 1 species